rnacentral:siRNA from 1 species
UGUAAAAUGGUCUAAAAUGGU